GCGGGGGUCGCCAAGUCAGGUUAAACAACCCUUUUUCACGAGGACUAAAGGCGCAGCGUUCAGGGCGCUGUCCCGUAGGGGUUCGAGGGUUCAAAUCCCUUCCCCCGCA
rnacentral:tRNA from 1 species